UCUGAAUCUUACCCUCUCUGGACCAGAAGAUAAGGGAAAGGGGCUAGGAUUCAAGGAGAGGGAAGAAAAGAGGCUCUUGGAGCCUGAAGAAAAAAAAGUAUCACUUCCGUCAGACAGGUGCCUAGCCCCUUAAAAUAUUUGUAGAGAAAGGUAAGGGCAGGAGGAGCUUUUGUAGACACAGGUAAAUGGCCUCAAAAUUUUAGCAUCAAUCUAACAAUGUGUUCCAGAGGACCACCGAACUUCCACCCCUACUGGCAGCGAGUGACACCAUCUCUUAGGUCUCACCUACCCUCCAGGGCAUCAAGCCUAUGUAUGCAUUUGCUGUUUAUUUUAUUUUUAGUUCAGGAGAGGGAGAAAAACUAGUCGAACUGAGAUUGGUGUCCAAUCUUUCUCAGAUGCCUGCUGCUGCCACCGCCGCCACCCCUCCUCACCCCCUUCCUGGCAGGCAGCAUCUAAUUAAAAUGGCAAGAACUGCUCGGCCCCCUUCCCCGAAGGAGUGUGCUGGGAUUAGAGGUGGGGGGUGGGGAAGCGUCGAGGCUGCAAUGGGAUUCCUGGCAGUCUGAUUUUUCAAACAACAGCAAAAUGGAUUCUAGAUCACUGAAGUCUUAUUCAAUACAAUGGAACGACGUCUGAGGUGUUUCAGGAGUUCCGGUGUGGUGGAGAGAAGCUGUUAAGCGUCUCUUUCACCUGCUGAAGUUCAGCCAUAAAACUGAAAGGUCACAGUCUCCGAGGGAAGGAAUAGGCUGGGCUGAGUUCAAACCACACAGAUAAAGGUGAGUUGCACACUGGCGUUCCGUGAAGAGCUGAGCUAGAGCCCCAGCACCGGAGGCAGAACCCGGGAAGGGAGACAGUUCCCACCUACAAGACCAGCCCAGAACAGCAAUUAUUGCUGUUGGAGCGGCAGGGUCCGCUGGUGGGGACAGCUAGCUCACGAUGGCAUCUUGCAGGUAGUGACCAGGCAGGCAAACGUGAAGGGCCAGUGCCUUUCUUCUCGAGGAGAAUCUUUUUGCAGCAAGGAGCUGUCGGGUCUCGCGCCUUGGCACGAGACCGUUGCCCGGGUACACACACACACACACACACACACACACACACACGCACACACACCAGCCUUUCAUGUAAUGCUCUUACACCGAAUCGAAGAUGAAACUGACAUAAGCUCCACCAGCUUCCUUGCGGAGCCUCGGGAACAGCCAAGAAGCACAAGGGGAGCCCAGCCUCUGCUGUAGGAGGUAGGGGCUGAGCCUAGAACCCCCUCGGCUGCCCCGGAAUCACAACAGAAAGGCAGGGAACGUUCCCUCUCCCAGCCCCAGACCAUUGGAAAGAAAGGAAAAAACACGUUCUGCUCACCCUCAGGGCGGAGAGAUCGAUUUCAUCCAGGCUGCGAGCUGGGGAGUCGCUCGCCAUGUCGACUCUUCGCGGGAGAAAUGGACCAAAACCACCCCGAAGCGUCUUCCUUGGCAAUUCCACCCUGGUCUAGUUCGCUCGCGUCCUCAUGCGGCUGUCCGCCAGAGAGGCCCGGGGCCCAGCCUCCCCCGCCCACCCGGGCCCCAACAAGGGUCCGAUCCCGAUCUUCCGAGAGCUUCGAUCCGCCGGAGCCCGGAGCCGGGACCUGCGCGGAUCUCCAAGCCCGGAGCCGCGGUGCGUGUGGGCUGCGCGCCCUGAUCGGCUAAGGGCGCUGGGGCUGCGUGGGUGUAUUUAAAUGGGACAUGCUUCUUUGCUUGUGCGUGGAUGGCGGCUGCAUUGGCUGUUAUAAUGAGACAUAUCAACUCCUCCACUCAGCUAAGGGGGUGGGGGUGGAGAACCACACAGAACUGUCUAUCACCGCUUCCUGGGAGGAGUGGGAGGGGGGAGAGGCGUGGUCUGCGACUGGGGAGAGGCCGCGCUUCCUGACCGGGUCCCUCCGCCACUAGCCAGAAGUGGGGGAGGGGUACGCACCCUUUCCGUCCCAGUUUUUGCAGGGCUAAUAGUGCUGAAUCUAAAGAGCCGUUCUUGAACCUCUCUGUGCAGGAACCUGAAAGGUGUAUUUUUUUUUUUUUUAAUGUGUCCAAUUUGUGCACUGCACCAAAAUGGCUCUUCGGUCGUAUCUUGGGGUUUCUUGACUGUGUUCAGAUACUAUAAUGGUGAAAAGGGUGGUGGGGAGAGGCAGCGGGGGGGCGGAGAGGGGAGAAGGCAGCAGCGUCCUCCCUCCCCCAUUAAUUAUUUGUGGGGCUGGAGUAAAGGCGGGCCGGUGCAACCGGUGCAUAUAAGGACUUGUGCGCAGGGAAGGGGAUCCGCCUCCCCGCUCAGAGCGAGUUGGGGAGAAGCUCACACGCGCCGAGCCGGCAGCCUGGCUUUGGUGUUGGGCAGUGGCCACAGGGUCACGGUCAUUCGCGGCCCCUGGGUUGCAGGAAGGCAGGCCCGAAUCAUCUGUGGUUCUCUCAGCUGGCUAGGUUUGCUAGAAGCUGGAAACCCGGGAGAUGUGAGCUCCGUCUCGACAUCGCCACACCCAAGACUUGCGCGUGCCGCAAUUCCCCACGGAAAUGACCGAAUUGAAAAGAGAAGCUUGUUCCCUGGGUGCAGUAGCUCGGAGGCUUCAGGUGACACCCAGGCAGACAUUAAUUGGGUGACAUAGUGCCGAACCCAGCGUUUCCUUCUCUGCGGCUUUUCCGCGGGUGACCUACCCGGACAGAUGGAGAAAGUUUGGCUCUAGGGUAGUGAGCCCUGACCUGCGAGCUAUUUGACUUCGCUCGCUUUUUCACUCAAAAGCUGGGUGUUUGCAGUGGUGACCGGACUUUCUUUAUCUAAAGUGUAAAGUCACUUCCCCAACCCCCUCGCAGCCUUUCCUCUCUCCUUGUUUGGCCAAGCAAAAUACAAAAUACAUCGGAAGAAAACAUUUCUACUGAACUCUUCCAUUCGCUUCAACUCAUCAACAUUUCUCAGAGUGUUCCUCUCGCAUCGACUGAGACAAGAGGCUAAGCGCACUGGGGUUUUGGUUUUUACUUGACUUUUCGUUUUGGUUUUUUUUUUGGGGGGGGAGUAGGGGUUCUUUUGAUUUAUCUUGUUGGUUUGAUUAUGAGACAGAUCUUACUUAAGUACUUCAAGGUUGUCUCCCCUCCGCUGUGGAUCUGAGGAUGGCCUUGAACUCCUCACUGUCUUGCAAAUACCUCCCAAGUACACAGAUUACACUUGUACACCAAUAUGUGGGCUGCUGCUACUUCUUUUAAAGUCAUGAAGUAUAAACUAAUUAUAGAAGCUUCAGAACAAGUUGAAAGAAUGAAUGAAUAAACAGACGAACGCUAAUGAA